rnacentral:lncRNA from 1 species
CUGUCCUCUCCCGGGGAGGCGGCGGCGGCGGCGGCCCCGGCUGUGCCGCAGGCUCGGCGGCGGCGGGCAGCGGCGCUGCGGCAGGGUCCCGGCGGCCGUGCCCUACGAAGGGCCUGGGCCGGGCGCGCUGGGAAGCGGCGGGGCUGGAGCAGGCGGAGGGUGAGUGACGGCGGGGCGACGCUCAGCGCCGUCUUCAGUGGGAAGCGAAUCAGCCGUAGGUGGGAAAUUAGGGUCACAUCUCCGAUCUCCCGAGGCAGUAAAUCUGUGAGCAACUUUUUGAAGCCUGAACAUAACUCAAUCAUGUGAAAAUCAGGGAAGGAAAAAAACAAGAACCAUCAAGAUCAUCAGUGAUACCAUUUAAUGCACUUCUGGAAUGCGUUCAGAUAACACACCACGAAGGCAGAACACAGUGUGGCCAGGAGCAUGACUGGGCCACAAAUAAUUCGGUACAAUGAUCUUGCAGUGAUAUUAACAUUCUAGUUAGUCACUGCUAUUAGGGUAAACAUACUAAAAAAUGAACCACAUAAAGAAUUUCAUAACCUCAAAAUUCCAGAGACCAUGAGACACUUCGGUGUUCAUACUGCCCAUUAUGCUCUGAAUGUACAGAGAGUGUAGAAUAUGGGCUAGAUAGAAAAGGACAAAGAUACCAGCAAACAAUAUUCAGAAUCAACUCUUUAAUAAUUUAACUGUAUACUUCAGAGAGCAGAACGAUGUAAGCAACAUGGGAAUUCCCACCAACUGUGCUUUGUUUAGUUUAUUUCACUAAGCAUUUGUUUUUUUGUUGUCAAAGCAUAUAAAAACAUUAAAAGAAUCAGUUGUCUACAACUUUUAGGAUAGCAUCCAUGACAGUGGGCAGGAACCUCCCAGUACCUCAUCUUUCUUAUCGACUAUAUUGUAAUUCGGCUGAAGCAGUUGUGUAUCUGCCACAUUCCAGGUCACCUAUAGACAAGACCUACUGCGUCAACUGAUUGAGCAGCCAGGAAGAAAAGCCCUUUCCAUUAUGAAUGUUAUGACACAAGAGUUAGAUGGUUUAUUUCCUCAUUUAUCAGAAAUAGAAUCAAAUAUAAGAGCAUAAAGAAAUGAAGAGAUGCAUUCACAGUGCUAUAAAAACUUACUGAAAUACAUAAAUCUGGCUGUAGAAGGGGCAUUAUUUCUCUGGUAGCUACCCAUGUGUAUAUGGGAAUGGAGACUACUGGAAACAAGCAGAGUUGAAUAAAUGAUUUUUUCACA